CUGUGAAUAUUCUCAAUGUUCUGAUUUUGUAAUAGUCAGAAAAGGUUAAACAUUUCCUAUAUUAAGACCAUUGCAUAUGUACCCAGAUGUAGCCUGUUCCUUAGGUCUUGUCUUAUAAAUGCUGGUGACAAAC
rnacentral:snoRNA from 1 species